rnacentral:tRNA from 1 species
GGGGCCAUAGCUCAGAUGGGAGAGCGCCUGCCUUGCACGCAGGAGGUCGGCGGUUCGAUCCCGCCUGGCUCCACCA